UAGGGAAUCUUCGGCAAUGGGGGGAACCCUGACCGAGCAACGCCGCGUGAGUGAAGAAGGUUUUCGGAUCGUAAAGCUCUGUUGUUAAGGAAGAACGAGUGUGAGAAUGGAAAGUUCAUACUGUGACGGUACUUAACCAGAAAGGGACGGCUAACUACGUGCCAGCAGCCGCGGUAAUACGUAGGUCCCGAGCGCUGUCCGGAUUUAUUGGGCGUAAAGCGAGCGCAGGCGGUUAGAUAAGUCUGAAGUUAAAGGCAGUGGCUCAACCAUUGUAGGCUAUGGAAACUGUUUAACUUGAGUGCAGAAGGGGGGAGUGGAAUUCCAUGUGUAGCGGUGAAAUGCGUAGAUAUAUGGAGGAACACCGGUGGCGAAAGCGGCUCUGUGGUCUGUAACUGACGCUGAGGCUCGAAAGCGUGGGGAGCGAACAGG
rnacentral:rRNA from 1 species